rnacentral:lncRNA from 1 species
ACUCCUAGUACCUAUGAGGUCCAAACAUUACCUGUAUGGACCUCAUAGGCGACAUAAGUGAUAAAACUGGUUAGACAUUGCCGUUUCUAUUUUCAACCAAAGACUUUGGCAAAUGUACGCCUAAAUACAAAUAGGAUGGUAACAAUUUUGUUAUAAAUUAGUUCUAAACAUCAUAAGUAAACUUUACGACGUUUAAGAUUUAAUGGAUUGAGGUUAAUCUUACAUUUUCAAUCUUUUUUCUUGAAUUCUUGGUGGGCGUUCCAAACGCUGUGAGGACUGAUCAACUCCGAUUUGACUCGCGUACUGGUCAGCUGAUCGAUCAGGUGAUCAGUUGGUUAUCUUUUUGUCAGACGUUCAUAAUUUAUAUUACAAUAUCAAUCUUCCGUACCCGUAUCUUGAUUUCAAUGCAUAUGGGCAAUUCCAUGGUAACGGAAUUACAAAUCAGAGAAAUUUGGCUGUUAUUUUUGCUCACAGCAUCCAGAUAUCUCAAUAUUUUCAAAUUUUCUGAACCUAAUACUAUGCAUGGCCACUAGUGCUAUAUGCUGAACCAAGAUUUUUAGAAAACCCCUCACACGUUUAGAUGUGAAUGACGGAUAUGUGCUAUGGUAACGGAAUUACCAGAGAAAUGAGUCAUUUUGCAACCCAAAGUUUAGUAAAAGUUUCUCUGAAAUCUACAACACACUAGCUCCAAGUUAAUGUCUGAUUCAAUUCAUUAUAAUGUCAACUUUAUUUUGAAAGUAAUUUAUUCACAAAUAUCAUCAACAAAUUUUGAUGAUUGGUCUUUCUUUAGGGCAAGUACAUGGUAACAGAAUUACACAUAAUGGUAACGGAAUUACGCCUCUGACAUUUGGGAAGGAAAAUUAUAUUUUUAGGCAUUUAGGACUGGUGAAAUGCCUCAAUAAAGCUUGUUUAUACAUUCUUCUCUAAUACUUAACACAAUCUAAGUACUUUAUGUCUCUAAUAUUAAAUAAAAUAUAAGUAUAUAGUACGUAAUAGGUGGCUCUACCAUGAAUAAACAUGAUUUUGCAAAAUAUUAGGGAUCAGUGGUAAUUAAAUUUUAGUUCAUUUUCAAUUUUAGGGGUAUUAGGACUUACUAGCCACUUUUUGCCUCCUGUACUGAUGGAAAGAAUUAUGUAAAGGCCAAAAAUCAUCACUAGUAAUCAUGGUAACGGAAUUACAUGGACUACAGCCAUACGUAUACACAUUAGGAAUUUUACAAAAACUGAGGACAGCAUGUUAUCAGAUCUGCAUAUUUAGUCAAAGAUUUGUGUAGAUGAUAGUUUAAGAUAUUCUAAAGUAUUUGAAUACUCAAAAGAAACAUAGUUUCACAUACAAUUGGCAUCUUAAACAGUUAAACUGAAAACUUUCUAUUUGGUUGUUCAAUAAAAUGAUUUGAAAACAAGAAACAAUGCUGAAACCUCAUGAAAAUAGUGUUGACAUUUACAUCUUGAAAAAAUGUUGUGGACAACUAAGCAACAAAUUGGUUCUUAAUCAGUGCACCAAUCUAAUUUUUUUUAAAGGUAAGGAUUCAUUUUCUGUCUAUAUGUAGCUCACUGAGGACUGCAAUUAUAGCAGAUCUGUGUAUGAAGUCAGUAUCGGACAUCUUCCUGACAGAUGUAUUUCCCAAAUGUGACCCUAAGUAACUACAGUGAUUUGAUGAUCUUAUGUCAUAUUCAUGAAAUUAGUUGGUUUUCUUGGGCCAUGAUUUUUUUUUAUGAUAUUAAAAUUUUUAUCUUUUAUAUAAAAUAUGAAAAUUUAUCCGAGAUGCAUUUUUAUCUUCCGUCUCUAAAGAUAUGUGACAAAGCAGUGCCUAGGAUAUAGACAUGUUUAUCGCGUAUCCAAUCAUUGCAUCACAGAUGAUGUGCCUGCACCAAAUUUCCUUUGAAGAAAAAAAAAGAACUGCAAAUAAGGUGGAGGCUACAUGUAUUCUCUCUAUACAUUUUCAAUUUCAGCAAUAUUUCUAGGUCAAUUCGCUCAAGACUUUGAAAUAAGAAUAAAGGAAAAUGAUAAAUCAUUUAAUCAUUAGAGUACUACUCUAACAUUAUUCUUGUAGAUUAAAGAAAUAUUUCAAAUAAUUUUAUUGACUAAUGUUGUUUAUGAAAUGAAAUGAAGUACAAAAUGUGAUAUUGACUUCAUAUUUUUGUUCAUUUUUUUUUCAAUUAAAUCCCUGUAGGCACAGAAUUUGAUUUAAUGCCAUCUCACUCAUUUGCCAAAACUCAUGGCAGAAAGGCUUUUAAUUGGUUGAAUGAGAUGAGUGCUACAAAAAACAGCCUUUCUCAUUACAAAUUGGUUCAAAAAUAGGUUUGUGUCACAGAGAUAAAACAAAGACAAAAUGGUUAUUGGAAUACCAUUUCGGAACUUAUUUUAGGUGAUUUUAUAUCACUUAUUUUAAUAGAGGUAAAAUAUUUCAUUUUAUAUCAGAAUGUAUAUGAGAAUACUACCACUGUCUCUUAGCAUUUCUCUCACAGCAGAAUGCUGUACAUACAUUUCUACCCAUUUCAAACUGAGUUAUGUUGCUGUUCUCAGAUGUUGUGUUAUUAAUGACUUUGUUGGUCUCAAUAUUAUCACCAUCCUCUCCUUAGAGAAGUGUUCACAUUCUGUGUAUCAUCCUCACUUGAAGGGUCAUCGUCGUUACUCACUUUAUCCGUGAAGCAGUGAUUAUUGGAUGAUGCUGACUUUGCAUGUUUCUGAGCAUCCAUUGCAUACAUGUAGGGGUGGAGCACAUUAUUGGUUUGGUGCUAAUUAAGGCAUCUUGAAUAUCUGUCAAAUCCACCUUACUUUUGGAAAUGUCAUCUGUAUAAAGAUUUAGUAUGAUUUUUUGGCAUGUGAUUCUUGUAACAUCUGUAAAUUAUGGAUCUCACUUCAAUCUUUUCCACUCAUUACUUUUUACUGCUCGCUACACUGUUCGCCAAUCAAUGCCAGAGUCUGGUCCCUCACCAUGGCUUGUUGCAAAGAAUAUCCAAUCUUCCGUUGCAAGGACAGUUACACAGAAGAUAUCGCUUAAAUUAGUAGGCGGUCCCUUCUGAAAACUAUACCCAUUUCUUUGAAGCAGAGAAAUACUCCCAGCCGUCCCGGAAUUUCUUUUACUGAAAAGUUCAUUAAGUCUGUUGAAGACCUGUGAAUUGAUCAGAGGCAAUUACAAAAAAAAGGAAUGCCAUUCUUUUCCAAGGCACACACAGUGAACAUGGUCACUUCGUGAUUGUGCGUCCAGUAUUUUGGAUCUCAUUAGAACUGGUAUUUGGCAAUGACAUUUUUUGCAAAAUCAAUCUGAAUGAGAAUUUUGUUAAGAUCAUCCUGCAUAAUCAUUUUUCUACUCCUCCCCAAGAAUUGAUUGCCCAUUAAUCCUUUGUAAGGCAUUCACCUACAUUGUAUGCUCCAUCAAUAUACUUUAUUGAUGCUAAUGUACAUUAUCUUGCCCUUUUUCUGAAUGUUAUACUCAGGCGGCCAGGCCAUAUUGAAUGGGACUUGUCAAGUAAUUGUAUAAUUUCAUCCUCAUUUGGAGUGUAAUUACUAAUCAGAAGGCUUUUAAUGUUUAUAACUGUGAUCUACAGUUAAGAUAUCAACAUGCAAUUGGAACAAAAUUGGCUAACGCACACCCCUUUAAAGAUAUGAUAAUGGUAAUUCCGUUACCAUGUAAUUCCGUUACCACAGUUACAGCAGAAUUAGAAA